GGGUGAGUAACGCGUAAGUAAUCUACCCUGGCAUCUGGAAUAACCCACCGAAAGGUGUGCUAAUACCGGAUACGCUGAUUUAUCAGGAAAGGUGGCCUCUUCAUGAAAGCUACUGUGCCGGGAGGAGCUUGCGUACCAUUAGCUAGUUGGUGGGGUAAUGGCCUACCAAGGCGACGAUGGUUAGCGGGUCUGAGAGGAUGAUCCGCCACACUGGAACUGGAACACGGACCAGACUCCUACGGGAGGCAGCAGUGAGGAAUAUUGCGCAAUGGGGGAAACCCUGACGCAGCGACGCCGCGUGGAUGAUGAAGGCCUUCGGGUCGUAAAAUCCUGUCAGAUGGAAAGAAAUGGUAUAUGCCUAAUAUGUGUAUACUUUGACGGUACCAUCAAAGGAAGCACCGGCUAACUCCGUGCCAGCAGCCGCGGUAAUACGGAGGGUGCAAGCGUUGUUCGGAAUUACUGGGCGUAAAGCGCGCGUAGGCGGCUUUUUAAGUCAGAUGUGAAAGUCCACGGCUCAACCGUGGAAGUGCAUUUGAUACUGGGAAGCUUGAGUACUGGAGGGGAUGGUGGAAUUCCCGGUGUAGAGGUGAAAUUCGUAGAUAUCGGGAGGAAUACCGGUGGCGAAGGCGACCAUCUGGCCAGAUACUGACGCUGAGGUGCGAAAGCGUG
rnacentral:rRNA from 2 species